GAUGAACGCUGGCGGCGUGCCUAAUACAUGCAAGUCGAGCGAACAGAUAAGGAGCUUGCUCCUUUGACGUUAGCGGCGGACGGGUGAGUAACACGUGGGUAACCUACCUAUAAGACUGGGAUAACUUCGGGAAACCGGAGCUAAUACCGGAUAAUAUUUCGAACCGCAUGGUUCGAUAGUGAAAGAUGGUUUUGCUAUCACUUAUAGAUGGACCCGCGCCGUAUUAGCUAGUUGGUAAGGUAACGGCUUACCAAGGCGACGAUACGUAGCCGACCUGAGAGGGUGAUCGGCCACACUGGAACUGAGACACGGUCCAGACUCCUACGGGAGGCAGCAGUAGGGAAUCUUCCGCAAUGGGCGAAAGCCUGACGGAGCAACGCCGCGUGAGUGAUGAAGGUCUCCGGAUCGUAAAACUCUGUUAUUAGGGAAGAACAUACGUGUAAGUAACUGUGCACGUCUUGACGGUACCUAAUCAGAAAGCCACGGCUAACUACGUG
rnacentral:rRNA from 1 species